GUAGUCUCGCACAGAUGCAUAUCAAUAAGCGGAGGAAAAGAAACUAACAAGGAUUCCCCUAGUAACGGCGAGUGAAGCGGGAAGAGCUCAAAUUUGAAAUCUUAAAGGGUUUCCCUUUACGAAUUGUAGUUUAAAGAAGUGUUUUCUGUUGAGGUUUUGGUAAAAGUUCUUUGGAAUAGGACAUCAUAGAGGGUGAGAAUCCCGUAUUUGACCUUUACUUUCAACUUUGUGAUACACUUUCAAAGAGUCGGAUUGUUUGGGAAUGCAGUCCAAAAUGGGUGGUAAAUUUCAUCUAAAGCUAAAUAUUGGCGAGAGACCGAUAGCGAACAAGUACCGUGAGGGAAAGAUGAAAAGAACUUUGAAAAGAGAGUUAAACAGUACGUGAAAUUGUCAAAAGGGAAGCGUUUGACACCAGUGUUGUUUUUCUGAAAAUCAAUUAAAGAACUGUUUAUGCUAAGCUGUUUAGACUUUAUCAGCUAAUCUGUUUAGUUUUGAGCUUUUCUUUAAUGCACUUUUCAGUUAACAAGUCAACAUCAAUUUCUUUUGCUGUAAAAAAGCUUGAGGAAGGUGGCUUGAGAUUCGUCUUAAGUGUUUAUAGCCUCUUGCCUAUGCAGUCGGAGAGAUUGAGGUCUGCAGCGUAGAUCCUUCGGGGCUAAAUGCAUUUGUGCUAAGUUAUAGCAUUUUAUAGACAACUUGUUGACUAUGAUUUGUCUUGUAGCUACUCGCUUAUGUUAUUUUACCUACGCUUAGGAUGUUGACGCGCGUGUGUGCGU
rnacentral:rRNA from 1 species